UAGGGAAUCUUCCGCAAUGGACGCAAGUCUGACGGAGCAACGCCGCGUGAGUGAAGAAGGAUUUCGGUUCGUAAAACUCUGUUGUUAGAGAAGAACAGCGCAUAGAGUAACUGUUAUGCGUGUGACGGUAUCUAACCAGAAAGCCACGGCUAACUACGUGCCAGCAGCCGCGGUAAUACGUAGGUGGCAAGCGUUGUCCGGAUUUAUUGGGCGUAAAGCGAGCGCAGGCGGUCAAUUAAGUCUGAUGUGAAAGCCCCCGGCUCAACCGGGGAGGGUCAUUGGAAACUGGUUGACUUGAGUGCAGAAGAGGAGAGUGGAAUUCCAUGUGUAGCGGUGAAAUGCGUAGAUAGAUGGAGGAACACCAGUGGCGAAGGCGACUCUCUGGUCUGUAACUGACGCUGAGGCUCGAAAGCGUGGGUAGCAAACAGG
rnacentral:rRNA from 1 species